ensembl:lncRNA
GCACUUCUGAAAAUGCACUUCCGAAUGCAUCUCUGUCCCCAGCACAUUUCAAACCAAACUGACGCCCGUGCGUCUCUCUGUCUCCUCAACAGGAACAUUUGUAGUGAAUGUGACCCAGACCUCCUAUCAGGCAGAGGAGAACCACGACAUCACACUGGAGUGGACCUUCACAACCAACCCUCACAGUUCCUCCAACUCUCUUUAUAUCUACUGUGUACUGUUAAAUAAUCUCAGGCCCUCAGUCCUGUUUUAUCUCCAUGAAGGAGUUGAGGCUCCAGAGUUUCAGGAUGAACAGUUUGCAGGACGAGUCCAGUGGGACAAAGACGUCCUCAGAGAAGGACGACUCAGACUUCAUGUGUCCAGACUCAGGACUGAAGACUCGGGCCAGUAUGAGUGUAAAGUGCACACAAGUAAUGAGAGUAGCUCUGGUAAAUGUUGGCUCCAUGUCACUGCAGCGAGGGAUCGGCCUGAACCUGAGACACCAAACACAACAAGUCCACAACAACCAGAGAGUUGGGAUAUGUCCCUAUUCUGCAAUUUAAUAAUCAUACUUGUAAUGUCUGUACUCUGUCUGUUUCUCUCCUGGUGGUUUUUGUUUCUAGUUGUUACAUAAGAUUAAAAAAAAAGUUCAGCAGGUGAAUCAGUGGAUACAGUUAACAACUGUAAUGAGAUAAAACUGUUAGAGUUCAUGUUUAUAGCAAAGAAACCCCCCCCACAAACUGUAAAAGUUGAUAAAAACACAUCUUUCCAUUCUUUUGUUCAUUAUUCUGUCAAACUGUCAUUUAUUAGACAGAUCUGAAAUGUGCA